rnacentral:rRNA from 1 species
GACGAACGCUGGCGGCGUGCUUAACACAUGCAAGUCGAACGGAAAGGCCCUGCUUUUGUGGGGUGCUCGAGUGGCGAACGGGUGAGUAACACGUGAGUAACCUGCCCUUGACUUUGGGAUAACUUCAGGAAACUGGGGCUAAUACCGGAUAGGAGCUCCUGCUGCAUGGUGGGGGUUGGAAAGUUUCGGCGGUUGGGGAUGGACUCGCGGCUUAUCAGCUUGUUGGUGGGGUAGUGGCUUACCAAGGCUUUGACGGGUAGCCGGCCUGAGAGGGUGACCGGCCACAUUGGGACUGGGAUACGGCCCAGACGCCUACGGGAGGCAGCAGUGGGGAAUAUUGCACAAUGGGCGGAAGCCUGAUGCAGCAACGCCGCGUGCGGGAUGACGGCCUUCGGGUUGUAAACCGCUUUCGCCUGUGACGAAGCGUGAGUGACGGGAAUGGGUAAAGAAACACCGGCUAACUACGU